rnacentral:rRNA from 1 species
UAGGGAAUCUUCCGCAAUGGGCGAAAGCCUGACGGAGCAACGCCGCGUGAGUGACGAAGGUCUUCGGAUCGUAAAACUCUGUUAUUAGGGAAGAACAAAUGUGUAAGUAACUAUGCACGUCUUGACGGUACCUAAUCAGAAAGCCACGGCUAACUACGUGCCAGCAGCCGCGGUAAUACGUAGGUGGCAAGCGUUAUCCGGAAUUAUUGGGCGUAAAGCGCGCGUAGGCGGUUUUUUAAGUCUGAUGUGAAAGCCCACGGCUCAACCGUGGAGGGUCAUUGGAAACUGGAAAACUUGAGUGCAGAAGAGGAAAGUGGAAUUCCAUGUGUAGCGGUGAAAUGCGCAGAGAUAUGGAGGAACACCAGUGGCGAAGGCGACUUUCUGGUCUGUAACUGACGCUGAUGUGCGAAAGCGUGGGGAUCAAACAGG